UAUGUACUAAUGAUGAUAUUAUAGUUCAGCUGAUAAUCUAUGCUGACUUCCUACUUUGUCUUUCGCUCCUAUCUGAAGUAAUGA